rnacentral:tRNA from 2 species
GGGCUCGUGGUCUAGCUGGUCAUGACACUGCCCUCACACGGCAGAGGUCUCCGGUUCGAAUCCGGACGAGCCCA